rnacentral:rRNA from 1 species
AUUGAACGCUGGCGGCAGGCUUAACACAUGCAAGUCGAGCGGAGAUGAGGUGCUUGCACCUUAUCUUAGCGGCGGACGGGUGAGUAAUGCUUAGGAAUCUGCCUAUUAGUGGGGGACAACAUUCCGAAAGGAAUGCUAAUACCGCAUACGUCCUACGGGAGAAAGCAGGGGAUCUUCGGACCUUGCGCUAAUAGAUGAGCCUAAGUCGCGAUUAGCUAGUUGGUGGGGUAAAGGCCUACCGAGGCGACGAUCUGUAGCGGGUCUGAGAGGAUGAUCCGCCACACUGGGACGGGGGCACGGCCCAGACUCCUACGGGAGGCAGCAGUGGGGAAUAUUGGACAAUGGGGGGAACCCUGAUCCAGCCAUGCCGCGUGUGUGAAGAAGGCCUUAUGGUUGUAAAGCACUUUAAGCGAGGAGGAGGCUACUGAGACUAAUACUCUUGGAUAGUGGACGUUACUCGCAGAAUAAGCACCGGCUAACUCUGUGCCAGCCGCCGCCGUAAGAC